rnacentral:tRNA from 1 species
GGUCCCAUAGCUCAGUUGGUUAGAGCGUCGUACUAAUAUUACAGCAAUGUAACAUUGGUAAUGCGAAGGCCGUGAGUUCAAGCCUCACUGGGACCA